CAUCGAGGACUACAGUGGGAUCUGCAUUUUCCAAACCGAAUGGUUAAAACUCCAAGGAAUUAGUUGGAAUAGAGUUUUGCUUGUUGAGACAGAUUGACUUUUCGAGGUUGAUGUUGAGCUAUUGAGUGGAAAACUCGCAUAAUGCUUCCUAAGUCCUCGAGUGGGAGGUAAUACCCAAGUUAUGGGCUGUAAAAGGAUUGAUCCCACUACCAAUGAUAAAGGAAAUUUGAUGAAAAACGCUCAUUUGAUUAAAAUUCAUUCAAGUAUGAUGAUGGCUUCAUUCGUAUAUAUUACAGUAUUUUGACCAUAUCUCUGUAUACAAAACUCCAAAUGUAGUGAUUCUUGAACCACUAGACUUCUAAGAGGAAGGACUACAACUUUUAUAUUUACCACUUCACCCAGUUCAGACUAGAUCAUGGUCAAAAUA